rnacentral:tRNA from 1 species
GCCCCCGUAUCCCAACCGGUAGAGGAAGGGCACUUAAAAUGCCUACAGUGUGGGUUCGACUCCCACCGGGGGCACCA